rnacentral:rRNA from 1 species
AUUGAACGCUGGCGGCAGGCUUAACACAUGCAAGUCGAACGAGUGGCGGACGGGUGAGUAAUGCUUGGGAAUCUAGCUUAUGGAGGGGGAUAACCACGGGAAACUGUAGCUAAUACCGCGUACCAUAGGAUGAGCCCAAGGUGGAUGUGGUAGUUGGGGAGGUAAAGGCUAACAAAGACGACGAUCUCUAGCUGGUCUGAGAGGAUGACAGGCCCCACUGGGACUGAGACACGGCCCAAACUCCUACGGGAGGCAGCAGUGGGGAAUUUUGCGCAAUGGGGGCAACCCUGACGCAGCCAUGCCGCGUGUAUGAAGAAGGCCUUAGGGUUGUAAAGUACUUUCAGCGGGGAGGCGUUACCCGCAGAAGAAGCACCGGCUAACUCCGUGCCAGCAGCCGCGGUAAUAC